rfam:Myotis davidii contig42567, whole genome shotgun sequence.
GGUGGCUCGCAGGUGAUGCACCCUGGAAUCGGGCUUCCUUCUCUUUGUUCCUGGGUGCAUCACCCAAGAACCACA